rnacentral:rRNA from 1 species
UGAAAGGGAAACGAUUGAAGUCAGUCGUACCUAUGGGUAAUCAGCCUUUUGGGUGUGAUUUUGUGGAGCGUGAGGAGUUAAACGCCUUCAUGCCUGCAUAUUCGUGCACUUUGGGUGUACUUGCCCGUGUGGUAGGUUAACAUCAAUUUCGGAUGUCAUAAAAUGACUGGAGGAAUGUAGCUUCGAUCCCGUAUUGAAGUGUUAUAGCCUUUGGUAGAUGUAACGGAUGGGAUCGAGGAUUGCAAUGAAUACCCUCAUGGGCUAUCCGCCUGGCCUCUGACAUGUCACUCUGGUGCCGAAAGCUUGCUUAUGGUAUCGUAGUGUACGGUCAAAAGGUUAGAACGGAAUAAAUUCGUUAAGGAUGUUGACGUAAAGGGC